rnacentral:rRNA from 1 species
UGCGUAGGUGGCGCCGUAAGUCGGGUGUGAAAUUUCGGAGCUUAACUCCGAAACUGCAUUCGAUACUGCGGUGCUUGAGGACUGGAGAGGAGACUGGAAUUCAUGGUGUAGCAGUGAAAUGCGUAGAGAUCAUGAGGAAGACCAGUGGCGAAGGCGGGUCUCUGGACAGUUCCUGACACUGAGGCACGAAGGCCAGGGGGAGCAAACG